CUAAGCUCCUCCAGGGCAGGAUUAGUGUCCAAUUUGUGGCUGCCUCUUCUAAAGCAUGUGGCUCAGCACCUGACCCAGCUGCCUUUGUGAGGGGGAUUUUCUCUUGCAAUGUCACUCCUUCUGUUCUUUGGUUCUUGGAAGCAUAGCUGGUGUUAUGAGAGCGUUGGGCCACUGUGGCUCAGGAGACCCGCUUUCUAGUUCUGGCACUGCUUCUGACUGUAUGAUCUUGAGUAACCAGCAUGGCAUCUGGAAGCCUCACAAAGCCAAGUGGGACUAAGGACCCCCUCCUCUGUCAAGUGGGGAUACAAAUGAACAACUAGAUGAAGAGGUAAAAUAAAGCAAGGUCUGGAGGGGCCUGGGCACAGGAGCUUCUGCCCUUGUGGAAUUGGGAUGCGCCACCCUCCGGACACAUCAACGUGUUCACAACUCAGAUGCUCUCUGAACCCUACUGUUUAGGAGUUUUUUAUGGAUGUUUCAUAAGCCUCUGUGUCUUUAUCAGCCUUGUAGGGAUGUGGAGAGGAUUAAAUGCCGCAAUAUGUCAAUGCCUGGCACCGUGGUACAUCCUGGAGAAGUAUCUGUGGCAUCUGAAUUCUGGAAUCUCUGUGCCUCGUGGUAGUCUAAUAAAAAUAGAUCUAAUAAAUCA